rnacentral:rRNA from 1 species
CCUACGGGGGGCUGCAGUGGGGAAUAUUGCACAAUGGGCGCAAGCCUGAUGCAGCCAUGCCGCGUGUGUGAAGAAGGCCUUCGGGUUGUAAAGCACUUUCAGCGGGGAGGAAGGCGGUGAGGUUAAUAACCUCAUCGAUUGACGUUACCCGCAGAAGAAGCACCGGCUAACUCCGUGCCAGCAGCCGCGGUAAUACGGAGGGUGCAAGCGUUAAUCGGAAUUACUGGGCGUAAAGCGCACGCAGGCGGUCUGUCAAGUCGGAUGUGAAAUCCCCGGGCUCAACCUGGGAAUUGCAUUCGAAACUGGCAGGCUAGAGUCUUGUAGAGGGGGGUAGAAUUCCAGGUGUAGCGGUGAAAUGCGUAGAGAUCUGGAGGAAUACCGGUGGCGAAGGCGGCCCCCUGGACAAAGACUGACGCUCAGGUGCGAAAGCGUGGGGGGCAAACAGGAUUAGAUACCCCUGUAGUC